rnacentral:rRNA from 1 species
CCUACGGGGGGCUGCAGUGGGGAAUUUUGGACAAUGGGGGCAACCCUGAUCCAGCCAUGCCGCGUGAGUGAAGAAGGCCUUCGGGUUGUAAAGCUCUUUCGGCCGGGAAGAAAUCGCUCAAGCUAAUACCUUGGGUGGAUGACGGUACCGGAAGAAGAAGCACCGGCUAACUACGUGCCAGCAGCCGCGGUAAUACGUAGGGUGCGAGCGUUCGGCGGGAUUACUGGGCCUAAGGCGUGCGACGGAGGUGAAAUCCCCGGGCUUAACCUGGGAACUGCGUUUGUGACUGUGGUGCUCGAGUGCGGCAGAGGGGGGUGGAAUUCCACGUGUAGCAGUGAAAUGCGUAGAGAUGUGGAGGAACACCGAUGGCGAAGGCAGCCCCCUGGGUCGACACUGACGCUCAUGCACGAAAGCGUGGGGAGCAAACAGGAUUAGAUACCCGUGUAGUC